UCUUUGCUGGUGUAUUGGUAACAUUGGCGCUUGUCAUGAUAUCCAACUAUCAACACUAACAACUCGCGCCCGCGCUGGGUUCGAUUCCCAGGCAGAGAG